ensembl:lncRNA
CGAAAGUUUCAGGAUCCGUUUUCCCCUUGCAAAUACCCUCGCUCUUGGGGGGAGACAGGGGAGAAGGAGGAAGGGGAAAUAUUUCCCCGGAUCUCUAGCUCCCUCAGCUCCAGGCAGGCCUGUGGUGCCGCGUCUGAGACCCGGGACCGAGACCGCCAGUCGGGGCUGCUCGCCAUGACCUUAAAGUUCUCUGGCCGCCGAAAAGGGCCGAGAGACAGCUGGGCAGGUAGACAGAAGCAGACACAAAGAAAGGGACCCUCGAAGGCGACCAGAGAGAAGAUAGAGAACGCAAAGAGCGAAGUGAAACAGCCGGACAGGAGGCAGGAGGCGGGCAGGUGGAGCGGCCAAAACCCGCGUGCUGAGAAGGGCCCAGAGGGGCCUCGGAAGCGACCAGGCGCGUCUCCCUUCCCACUUUACCUGGAGGUUAAUGACCUCGUUAGCGCCCCCUCGUUCCAAACCGCCCAUUUACAACUCCUCGGUUUUCUCGAGGCUCUCUGAUUAAUUAGCCGGUUCGGCAGGAUAGAGGUGCCCCUCCGCCGGGACCUGGCGGCGUUGCUCUAGAUGGUUUCUCAAUUGCGGGGAGGAAGGGCGCAUCCGGGGAGGGGAAAUGGGGGGUGAAUGGUGCUGGCGCCUGCGGCCUGGAGGGAGUAGAUGAACGGUUCGUGAGCUGCAGCCGAACGCUAAGACCCAGAGACUAGGACCCACUCCCCCUCGGAUCAGGACAGCAGGAAGGAGAUGCUCAUUGGGAACUGGUGCCCGCCCCAGACUCUGCAGUCCCCGCGGCCGAGACCCCGCUUGCGGCGAGGCGCUGGGUCAGCGUUUACAGCCACUCCCAGCGCUGGUGGCUGGACAGAGCCCCCUACCCCACCUCAUCUCCGCCCAUCAGACAGCAGAGGUUGUAAGAAUACAGGCCCUUGGCGUUGUGGCGUCCAAGGGGCACCUGUGUACUUGCGAUCUCCCUUCUACCCUGAAUUGCCACUGCCGAAUUUGAAAGCCGCCUUUCUAAUCCCUCUGCCAGGCUCCCGCCUCCGGAGGGCCAGGGCUCCGAGCUAGGCCCUCCCAGACUUCCAGGUUCCACCCCUGCGGCGCCAACCUGCGGCUGGGCUGUCGGCGGAUGGGGCUGGAGGGGCGCGGGGCCCGGAGGUGCCCCUGACCCUGCUCCCGACGCCAACUUUGCGCUCGGGCUCGCCACCUCCCGGACUGGGGACCUUCCUGUCCUCCUACCCGCAGCAGGUAGGCAGUCGCGGGGCAGGCCAGCGGCUUGCGCUGAGAUCUUCACUCUGAACCCAGCCCGGAGGCGAAGGUGCUGAUCCCCAGGGAGUACCGCGGGGCGCGCGCCGUCGGAGACUGCUGCGCUGGCCCAGCGCAAGAGAACCCUAGACAGGACUUGGGUACGUCCCGCGCAGUCUCAAGUACGUCCGGGAUCGGGGACUGAGGGCGCAGCGGUCGGUCUCCAACCCCUCACCACGACCUCUGCGACUAUCUCAAUCGCCACGCGCGACCUGGUCCCACAGCAGCGGUGCGGUCUCUCCCAGGAGCCAGUCACUCAGGAGCCGCAAGGCAGGGGCAUCUCAGCCCCGGAGGCGCCUCGGAGGAAAAAGGUUGCUGUGAGGAGCAUCCUUCCCUCCGGUUCAUCUCGGAGCCUAGGAGCCGGGAUCCCCGGGGCCAAGGGGCGAAGGGACUAGGAAAAGGUCCUGUUACAAAAAGAAGAAAUCUCAAUUCUUCAUCUCCAAAAAUGGAGACGGGUGGUUGUAGCAUGAAGAAAUUAAUUUAGACCCAAGAUGACAUUUUUGGCAGCGUGGGUCACUGAAAGAAAACUAGGGACUAAGAAGACGGGAAAGAGGCUGCAGAAGUUACAUUAAUGGGUCUCGAAGCACAGAAGGCAGCUUCACCUGGACCACAUGGCUUGACUACAGUCCUGGGGAGGCAGGAAGAUUGCUCUAUCAGUGGUUUUCAAAUGCUUUUGAUCAGUACCAUACAUAUUCAUAUAUAUCUAUAAUGUGUCACAUAUGUGUGUGUGUGUGUGUGUGUAGAUAGAGAGAGAAUGUUCUGGGUCAUUAUGCACUCUAGUAUUUUCCUGAUCUUUUGUAUUUCAUUUUUAAAGUUCUGAUCACAAUCCACUAAAUUGUUACACAGCUCAUCAGCGAGUCACAACCCACAGUUUGCAAACUUUAGUUUAGAUUCUUUCUUUCUCUCCUUUUCAGUAUGAACCCAAGAAAGGCUCGUUCUCAUUCCAUACUUAAUAUUUCAACAUAAGUCUGCUGGAUGUAUAUAAAUUAAAAUUCUCGGGGCGGCCCUGUGGCCAAGUGGUUAAGUUCGCCUGCUCCACUUUGGUGACCUGGGGUUUUACCAGUUCAGAUCCUGGACGUGGACAUGGCACUGCUCAUCAGGCCACUCUGAGGCGGCAUCCCACAUGCCACAACUAGAAAGACGCACAACUGAAAAAAAU